UAAUUGAGAUAAUAUAUGACAGAAUGGGAAAUGAAGAAGCAGAAAGAGCCUACAGAGGAACAAAUAAAGAAGCGAACAGGUCAGUAGCACAAGCGAAAGCUAGAGCAAGGAAGACAUGUACGAUAAAUUGGAAAUCAGGGAGGGUGAGAAGAGGAUAUUUGCACUAACAAGACAGAGAGAGAAGUCAACAAAGGAUUUUACGCAUAUCAAGCAGGUUAAAAAUAAGGAAGGAAGAGUUUUAAUUGAUGACAAUGAAAUAAGAGACCGAUGGAAAGAAUAUUUCAAUGCACUUUUGAAUGAGGAAAACCCAAGAGGAGUGUUGGAGGAUGGGGAACCAAAUGACAGGAGAACAAUAGCAAUUUCAAGGGAGGAAGUCAAACAAGCAUUGAGGAAGAUGAACGAUGGGAAGGCAACAGGGCUGGAUAACAUACCUGUAGAGGUGUGGAAAAGUUUAGAAGAGGGACUUGAGUGGCUGUGUUGGUUGUUAAAUAAGAUCUAUGAGAAGGAGAAAAUCCCAAAUGCAUGGAGAUGCAGCGAUAUUGUCCCAAUAUACAAGGAGAAAGGAGACAUUCAGGACUGUAAAAAUUACAGAGAAAUUAAAUUAAUGUCGCAUACAAUGAAACUGUACAAAAGGAUAAUUGAGAAAAGAGUAAGGGGAGAAACACAGGUGGGAGACGAACAAUUUGGAUUUAUGCCGGAGAGAAGUACUACCUGUUACUGUAUGUAAAAAAUUGUAAAGCGUAUGUAUCUCACGUCAAUAUUCCUCGGCAUUCAUAAGGGAAAUGUUCAAUAGUUUUCUAUUUGCAUGAAAACGUGUAAUGUGUGUAAGUAUCAGUAUUUAAUGCUAUAUUAAGCACCGAAGCCGAUGCUCACUUGUUGGUAGAGUGUGGUUAACCCACUGAUCACCUACAGGCGUCACUCACGGCCAAGUCGCGCUCAGGCAAAGACGGUCAGGAUGGUGACCGAGUUCUUACGGUCAUGCCUACCUCAUCAAUAAACGUCAGAGAGAACUGCCUUUCCUCGACACUACGAUGAUGGGUGUGAUCAGUAAAACAGAUUACCUGAAAGCCAAUUGAUGCCCAGCCGGUGUGGCUACAGUAAGAACUCGACCUACAAGCAAGAAAUUGGCUCCAUGUGAAACCGUAGCAAGAGUGAGUCACUGGACGAGGGGACGCUGACAUAAGCCUAUAGGUUGACCUCUGAGGCCCUGGGGUCAGCUCUACCCUUGACAACAUCCACUCCCUUCUACCCACUGUGCCUCGCCACCAUUUUGUUGAACCCAUGGUCACAGGCAAGAAAGUAUAAUAGUAUGUAUGUGCACUGAAUUGAGUAGCCUGAGUGAAAAUUACCCACAGUUAGCUAGUGUUAGAGUGGUAAUUUUAAUUGCUCUUUCAUUGUCUCAGUAUUGACACAAUUAAGUUGUUAGAUAUGUCUGAUAUUGAGGAAAUUAAUGCCGUAAAUGGCAUUAGGGAAGGUGAAGAUGAGCAAAUGGACAAGGGUCAAGCUUGUAAUGAAGAAGCUAGUGUCAGGGAGCGAGUGCCGACCGACUAAGGAAGAGAAUAUCAAUUCAGUGUAACCAAGGGAAGAGCAGAGUCCUGUAAGCGUAAAUGGAGCAGUGUUACCAGCAAAAUUAAGAAAGGACUAAAAAUUGUAAUUAGCCCCUUUGAAUUAGAGCCCAUGUCAAGUGAAGUAAUAGAGGCAUUUCAUCAGUAUUAUGUGGAAUACACAAAACUGGUGGAACUAGAGCCAGAAAAGUCAGAGGAGCUAAAUGAAGAGCUGGAACACAAUCAACGAGUUCACCAUGAAAUAUUAGAAAGUAUAGAAUGUAAAAGAAAAGAGUUAAAGAAUGACAAAGGAUCAAUUUGUUCUAGCAAACGGUCUAGGCCAGUGGUUCCCAAACUAGGGGGCGCGCCCCCCUAGGAGGGCGCGAGGAGGAUACAAGGGGGGCGUGAAUUCAUCUGCUCAAAAUUAUUUGUUUAAUUAGAAUAAUAAAAUCAUUCAAAGAACAAA